rnacentral:rRNA from 1 species
GGGCAAGUCUGGUGCCAGCAGCCGCGUAAUUCCAGCUCCAAUAGCGUAUAUUAAAGUUGUUGCGGUCAAAAAGCUCGUAGUUGGAUUUCGGUGAGUAAGGAGGGGUUCAUCUUGUUUGAUGUAACUGCUGUCUUGUCUCGCGUUUUUCGACAGAGGUUUCGAUGGUGCCUUUCAAAGGGUGUCUCGGGAUACUGUCGGGUUUACUUUGAAAAAAUUAGAGUGCUCAAAGCAGGCUUUUAAAAGCUUGAAUAUUAGUGCAUGGAAUAAUGAAAUAGGAAGUCGUUUCUAUUUUGUUGGUUUUCGGAAAUCGACUUAAUGAUUAAUAGGGACAGUCGGGGGCAUUAGUAUUCAGACGACAGAGGUGAAAUUCUUGGACCGUCUGAAGACUAACUACUGCGAAAGCAUUUGCCAAGAAUGUUUUCAUUAAUCAAGAACGAAAGUUAGAGGUUCGAAGGCGAUCAGAUACCGCCCUAGUUCUAACCAUAAACGAUGCCAGCUAGCGAUCCGCAGUUGUUUAUUUUUACGACUCUGCGGGAAGCUUCCGGGAAACCAAAGCUUUUGGGUUCCGGGGGAAGUAUGGUUGCAAAGCUGAAACUUAAAGGAAUUGACGGAAGGGCACCACCAGGAGUGGCCUGCGGCUUAAUUUGACUCAACACGGGAAAUCUCACCAGGCCCGGACACUGGAAGGAUUGACAGAUUGAGAGCUCUUUCUCGAUUCGGUGGGUGGUGGUGCAUGGCCGUUCUUAGUUGGUGGAGUGAUUUGUCUGGUUAAUUCCGAUAACGAACGAGACUCUGUCCUGCUAAAUAGAGUUAACGUCAUUUUUUUUGCGUUAACUUUUCUUCUUAGAGGGACUGGUGGCGUCUAGCCACACGAGAUUGAGCAAUAACAGGUCUGUGAUGCCCUU